rnacentral:tRNA from 1 species
UCCUGGUGGCUCAGGUGGUAAAGCGUCUGCCUGCAAUGCGGGAGACCCGGGUUUGAUUCCUGGGUCAGGAA